GGACGAACGCUGGCGGCGUGCUUAACACAUGCAAGUCGAGCGGUAAGGCCCUUUCGGGGGUACACGAGCGGCGAACGGGUGAGUAACACGUGGGUGACCUGCCCUUAGCUCUGGGAUAAGCCUGGGAAACUGGGUCUAAUACCGGAUAUGACUCCAUGACGCAUGUUGUGGGGUGAAAGCCUUGUGCGGCUAGGGAUGGGCCCGCGGCCUAUCAGCUUGUUGGUGGGGUGAUGGCCUACCAAGGCGACGACGGGUAGCCGGCCUGAGAGGGCGACCGGCCACACUGGGACUGAGACACGGCCCAGGACUCCUACGGGAGGCAGCAGUGGGGAAUCUUGCGCAAUGGGCGAAAGCCUGACGCAGCGACG
rnacentral:rRNA from 1 species